AGCGUACACGGUGGAUGCCCUGGCAGUCAGAGGCGAUGAAGGACGUGCUAAUCUGCGAUAAGCGUCGGUGAGGUGAUAUGAACCGUUAUAACCGGCGAUUUCCGAAUGGGGAAACCCAGUGUGUUUCGACACACUAUCAUUAACUGAAUCCAUAGGUUAAUGAGGCGAACCGGGGGAACUGAAACAUCUAAGUACCCCGAGGAAAAGAAAUCAACCGAGAUUCCCCCAGUAGCGGCGAGCGAACGGGGAGGAGCCCAGAGCCUGAAUCAGUGUGUGUGUUAGUGGAAGCGUCUGGAAAGGCGUGCGAUACAGGGUGACAGCCCCGUACACAAAAAUGCACAUAUUGUGAGCUCGAUGAGUAGGGCGGGACACGUGGUAUCCUGUCUGAAUAUGGGGGGACCAUCCUCCAAGGCUAAAUACUCCUGACUGACCGAUAGUGAACCAGUACCGUGAGGGAAAGGCGAAAAGAACCCCGGCGAGGGGAGUGAAAAAGAACCUGAAACCGUGUACGUACAAGCAGUGGGAGCCUCUUAAUGGGGUGACUGCGUACCUUUUGUAUAAUGGGUCAGCGACUUAUAUUCUGUAGCAAGGUUAACCGAAUAGGGGAGCCGAAGGGAAACCGAGUCUUAACUGGGCGUUAAGUUGCAGGGUAUAGACCCGAAACCCGGUGAUCUAGCCAUGGGCAGGUUGAAGGUUGGGUAACACUAACUGGAGGACCGAACCGACUAAUGUUGAAAAAUUAGCGGAUGACUUGUGGCUGGGGGUGAAAGGCCAAUCAAACCGGGAGAUAGCUGGUUCUCCCCGAAAGCUAUUUAGGUAGCGCCUCGUGAAUUCAUCUCCGGGGGUAGAGCACUGUUUCGGCAAGGGGGUCAUCCCGACUUACCAACCCGAUGCAAACUGCGAAUACCGGAGAAUGUUAUCACGGGAGACACACGGCGGGUGCUAACGUCCGUCGUGAAGAGGGAAACAACCCAGACCGCCAGCUAAGGUCCCAAAGUCAUGGUUAAGUGGGAAACGAUGUGGGAAGGCCCAGACAGCCAGGAUGUUGGCUUAGAAGCAGCCAUCAUUUAAAGAAAGCGUAAUAGCUCACUGGUCGAGUCGGCCUGCGCGGAAGAUGUAACGGGGCUAAACCAUGCACCGAAGCUGCGGCAGCGACACUAUGUGUUGUUGGGUAGGGGAGCGUUCUGUAAGCCUGUGAAGGUGGCCUGUGAGGGUUGCUGGAGGUAUCAGAAGUGCGAAUGCUGACAUAAGUAACGAUAAAGCGGGUGAAAAGCCCGCUCGCCGGAAGACCAAGGGUUCCUGUCCAACGUUAAUCGGGGCAGGGUGAGUCGACCCCUAAGGCGAGGCCGAAAGGCGUAGUCGAUGGGAAACAGGUUAAUAUUCCUGUACUUGGUGUUACUGCGAAGGGGGGACGGAGAAGGCUAUGUUGGCCGGGCGACGGUUGUCCCGGUUUAAGCGUGUAGGCUGGUUUUCCAGGCAAAUCCGGAAAACCAAGGCUGAGGCGUGAUGACGAGGCACUACGGUGCUGAAGCGACAAAUGCCCUGCUUCCAGGAAAAGCCUCUAAGCAUCAGGUAACAUCAAAUCGUACCCCAAACCGACACAGGUGGUCAGGUAGAGAAUACCAAGGCGCUUGAGAGAACUCGGGUGAAGGAACUAGGCAAAAUGGUGCCGUAACUUCGGGAGAAGGCACGCUGAUAUGUAGGUGAAGCGACUUGCUCGUGGAGCUGAAAUCAGUCGAAGAUACCAGCUGGCUGCAACUGUUUAUUAAAAACACAGCACUGUGCAAACACGAAAGUGGACGUAUACGGUGUGACGCCUGCCCGGUGCCGGAAGGUUAAUUGAUGGGGUUAGCGGUAACGCGAAGCUCUUGAUCGAAGCCCCGGUAAACGGCGGCCGUAACUAUAACGGUCCUAAGGUAGCGAAAUUCCUUGUCGGGUAAGUUCCGACCUGCACGAAUGGCGUAAUGAUGGCCAGGCUGUCUCCACCCGAGACUCAGUGAAAUUGAACUCGCUGUGAAGAUGCAGUGUACCCGCGGCAAGACGGAAAGACCCCGUGAACCUUUACUAUAGCUUGACACUGAACAUUGAGCCUUGAUGUGUAGGAUAGGUGGGAGGCUUUGAAGUGUGGACGCCAGUCUGCAUGGAGCCGACCUUGAAAUACCACCCUUUAAUGUUUGAUGUUCUAACGUUGGCCCGUAAUCCGGGUUGCGGACAGUGUCUGGUGGGUAGUUUGACUGGGGCGGUCUCCUCCUAAAGAGUAACGGAGGAGCACGAAGGUUGGCUAAUCCUGGUCGGACAUCAGGAGGUUAGUGCAAUGGCAUAAGCCAGCUUGACUGCGAGCGUGACGGCGCGAGCAGGUGCGAAAGCAGGUCAUAGUGAUCCGGUGGUUCUGAAUGGAAGGGCCAUCGCUCAACGGAUAAAAGGUACUCCGGGGAUAACAGGCUGAUACCGCCCAAGAGUUCAUAUCGACGGCGGGGUUUGGCACCUCGAUGUCGGCUCAUCACAUCCUGGGGCUGAAGUAGGUCCCAAGGGUAUGGCUGUUCGCCAUUUAAAGUGGUACGCGAGCUGGGUUUAGAACGUCGUGAGACAGUUCGGUCCCUAUCUGCCGUGGGCGCUGGAGAACUGAGGGGGGCUGCUCCUAGUACGAGAGGACCGGAGUGGACGCAUCACUGGUGUUCGGGUUGUCAUGCCAAUGGCACUGCCCGGUAGCUAAAUGCGGAAGAGAUAAGUGCUGAAAGCAUCUAAGCACGAAACUUGCCCCGAGAUGAGUUCUCCCUGACUCCUUGA
rnacentral:rRNA from 1 species